UCGAGCUUUUGAUUGGUUGGUUUCACUGUCAAUCUCCCUGGAGGGAGGAGAGUGGGCGGGGCGAUGGUGCGUGCCCGCCGCGCCCCACGUGGCCUGAGCAGCUGCGCACGUGACGGAGGCCCACGACCGGGAAAACUUGUGGAAAAGGGAUUUGCGGUGACCACAGUGUCAUUCCUAAAUUAUAUUUGAAGGCUGCUGUUCCAUUGAUGAGUGUCAUUUCCUGACCUCACCCACGGCUGCAUGCCUGUGCAAUCUUUCCAUUUGAUCUCCUCUGGAGAAUCCUGUUAACAACCUGAUCAGCAGAACCGUGGAGCAGCUGAAAGUGCCGUUUUGGUGCUGAAGAGAGAACUCGAGAAAUGGGAUGUGCCUGUCACCCUGGUGAACAGGUCUGUGGGUGUUCGGUGAAAACGUGCUCUGCCUUGGAAGAGCCACAGAGCCCUUUACAGGUUAGUCACCAGCAGGAGGGACAGCUGCCAGCACAGCACAGCCAUGUGUGCUAGUGGCACAGACAGCGGACAAGAUCCGUGCAAACUCAGGCUACGCGAGUCAGUAAAGAGCAGUGAAUCUUCUGAUGGCUUCUCCAUUCAGUAAUGGUAACUGAUUUUUACAUUGAUUGGUGGGAAAAGAGCUCCAUUAAUAUGAAUGUGACUUCAUACUGGAUGUGUACAUACUUGUUACUGUAGUGCUGUAAGGAAUACAAAAGGCUCUGCAUAAAUCAAUACGAAUUAGUAAUAUAACUUUUGGAUGCACUUUGCCUCUCUUCCUCAUUGUUUAUUCAGUGUGUGGGAGCUGUCUGUGUCCUGCCUAUCCACAUGUAUUUUUCAUGUUGUAAGCAGACAUCACUAAUACUCCAAGAGUACAGGUUGCACGCUUUGGGAGAGAAGGAUCUGUCCAAGAUGCUGACCUUGUAUUUGCCAUAAGUAAAAAAAUAAUUAAAUAAUUUCCCUCUGUAAACUCUCUUUCCCCUUACUGGUGUUCUUUUGUGAGUGCUCCUUUCUAUGUUUUGCUCAGGGUGUGCAGGUGAAGGAAUAUGAUUUGUUUUGCAUAAGCCUAGGGAGCCAGAUAUUUUCAUUUCGGAGGAGCAAAAGAUACCACUCUCCCUUGUUCCUGUAGUUUCACACUACAAAACAAAUUUGAACUGUGGAAAGCAAGCAGAUUUUGUUGGUUUGGCUGAAGUUAUAAUGGAUGACUCAGAAGUUCCCACCCAGGUUCACCCGUGGAUUUGGAAGGAAUCACAGCUUCCAGUCAUGUUCUGGUUCUCAUGAAGUCCAAAUGCUUAGGAAAAAAAUAAUUCUUGCUGGUUUUUUCAUACCUCCCCAAUACCAGUCCUAUCCAAAAAAUGAAACCAAGUUGGACAGUGAAAUCGCAUUUUUUCAGCCACUGGAUGUCAGUAUUACACUACCACUGUGGGGCCUUUCCAGGUGCUGGGAAAGGUUGGAUUUCUUUGGGGUGAAAAUCUUUCCGCUCUGACAGUGAAUUGAUGAGAAAAACCAUUAUAGCUUUGGGGAUUGGUCUCACUGCAGUAUGAGUGUGCUCUUUGGCUCCUCAGGAAACAGGCUGGGACCCUGCCUGCAGAGCAUCAAACCUCACACAGCUUGUAGCCAGAGAGACAGACAGACUUCAGUGUUGGGGUCAAUUCCACAGCCUUUUGACUCUUACGUUAUGAAAAUACAUCACCUCUUCUUUUUUAAAAUGUACUUGUUAUAAAUACUGCAUCUGACAGGGAUACAGUCCAGAAGAAGCCUGCAUGAAGGCUAAAUGUGUCUAAACAAAAUGUGCUGCCAGCUUGGGACAAUUCUGAAUGCAGGAAUGAGAGAAGACAAGAAUUUAGAAACAGCUUUGAUAUUUGGAAUUUGUAGUUAGUGUUUUUGAGAUCAGACACUGGUUUAUUGUUUCCAAAAGUGCCAUGAUGUGAUUUUUUUUUUUAUAGGCUUGCUAGGUUUUUAAGUUAAUGUACGCAAAUGAGCUCUGGAUAGUCAGUCACUAAAAACUACUGAUACUUUCAGAAAAGAUCUUUGCUAACCCUGCCUUUUUUUCUGCUUUGCAUGCCCUAAGCAGCAGCUGUCUUGUGGAAACAGAAAGGAACCAACUACUUACCUGCAUAGUGAUUAAGAGAAAGGUUACUUUUUGGAAAGCCACAGUCAAGUGUGUGCUGAUGCUCUUUAUGGUGCCCUAUGUUUAAGUGUUUUCACAUGAAACGUGACAUUUAACAUAUGAUAUAAUGCUGUGCUUUAUCUGUGUCUAAAAUGCAGGCAGCACUGGAAAAGAAGAUUGCUGUUGUUAAAAAAAUUAUUCAUAAAAAAGUAAUAAAAGAACUGAUGUUCUCUUGUUCUAUAUAAA